CGGCUACGGGAAGGUGCCAGCCCGCCCCGGAUGGGCAUCGUGGAGCCGGGUUGCGGAGACAUGCUGACGGGCACCGAGCCGAUGCCGGGGAGCGACGAGGGCCGGGCGCCUGGCGCCGACCCGCAGCACCGCUACUUCUACCCGGAGCCGGGCGCGCAGGACGCGGACGAGCGUCGCGGGGGCGGCAGCCUGGGGUCUCCCUACCCGGGGGGCGCCUUGGUGCCCGCCCCGCCGAGCCGCUUCCUUGGAGCCUACGCCUACCCGCCGCGACCCCAGGCGGCCGGCUUCCCCGGCGCGGGCGAGUCCUUCCCGCCGCCCGCGGACGCCGAGGGCUACCAGCCGGGCGAGGGCUACGCCGCCCCGGACCCGCGCGCCGGGCUCUACCCGGGGCCGCGUGAGGACUAUGCGCUACCCGCGGGGCUGGAGGUGUCGGGGAAACUGAGGGUCGCGCUCAACAACCACCUGUUGUGGUCCAAGUUUAAUCAGCACCAGACAGAGAUGAUCAUCACCAAGCAGGGACGGCGGAUGUUCCCAUUCCUGUCAUUUACUGUGGCCGGGCUGGAGCCCACCAGCCACUACAGGAUGUUUGUGGACGUGGUCUUGGUGGACCAGCACCACUGGCGGUACCAGAGCGGCAAGUGGGUGCAGUGUGGAAAGGCCGAGGGCAGCAUGCCAGGUGCGCGCGCCCCUGGGAGUGGUGGGCUCUGUUUCGCUGGGA
rnacentral:sRNA from 1 species